CCUACGGGAGGCAGCAGUGGGGAAUAUUGGGCAAUGGGGGAAACCCUGACCCAGCAACGCCGCGUGAAGGACGAAGGCCUUCGGGUUGUAAACUUCUUUGAUCAGGGACGAAAGCAAUGACGGUACCUGAAGAACAAGCCACGGCUAACUACGUGCCAGCAGCCGCGGUAAU
rnacentral:rRNA from 1 species